rnacentral:rRNA from 1 species
UGGGGAAUCUUGCACAAUGGGCGAAAGCCUGAUGCAGCGACGCCGCGUGAGUGAAGAAGUACUUCGGUAUGUAAAGCUCUAUCAGCAGGGACGAUAAUGACGGUACCUGACUAAGAAGCCCCGGCUAACUACGUGCCAGCAGCCGCGGUAAUACGUAGGGGGCAAGCGUUAUCCGGAUUUACUGGGUGUAAAGGGAGCGUAGGUGGUAGUGCAAGUCAGAUGUGAAAGCCCGUUGCUUAACAGCGGGAUUGCAUCAGAAACUGUAUUACUAGAGUACAGGAGAGGUAAGUGGAAUUCCUAGUGUAGCGGUGAAAUGCGUAGAUAUUAGGAGGAACAUCAGUGGCGAAGGCGGCUUACUGGACUGUAACUGACACUAAGGCUCGAAAGCGUGGGGAGCAAACAGG